GUUGUAUGGUUAAGUGACUAAGCGUACACGGUGGAUGCCUUGGCAGUCAGAGGCGAUGAAGGACGUAGUAACUUGCGAUAAGCGUAGAUGAGGCAGUAACAGCCACUUGAGUCUACGAUUUCCGAAUGGGGAAACCCACUGGCAUAAGCCAGUAUCAUUGAGUGAAUACAUAGCUCAAUGAAGCGAACCGGGAGAACUGAAACAUCUAAGUACCCCGAGGAAAAGAAAUCAACCGAGAUUCCGAAAGUAGCGGCGAGCGAAAUUGGAUUAGCCCUUAAGCUUUACAUGUGUUAGACGAACGGUCUGGAAAGUCCGACGAUACAGGGUGAUAGUCCCGUAGUUGUAGAUGCAUGUUCAGUGAAAUCGAGUAGGGCGGGACACGUGUUAUCCUGUCUGAAUAUGGG
rnacentral:rRNA from 1 species